CAAAAGAAACGAAUUAAUUUGAUACCAAAUUUAAAAACGAAAAAUCAUCCAAAUAUUAAAACUGGCAACAUUGGAACGUAUGAUUCAAAAAUCAAACCGAUCAAUAAGAGAUUUAGUGGCAACAUUAAUAAAGGAAAAAUAAAUUUGCAGAAAACGAAAAUACCAAUGAAGAUAAACGAGAAAAACAAUCUAUUCAGAAUGAGUCCCAGGACAAAUGAAAAGAAUCUGACGUCAACUUCAAUAAACAGCAUACAGAAAGGGAUCGGAGUUAAAACAUCAAAUAAUAUAGCCAGGUUAGUGAAAAAGCCAUCAGGAAAUAAACAAUAAUGGUAAAGUAGCG